rnacentral:rRNA from 1 species
AUUGAACGCUGGCGGAAUGCUUUACACAUGCAAGUCGAACGGCAGCACGGACUUCGGUCUGGUGGCGAGUGGCGAACGGGUGAGUAAUACAUCGGAACGUGCCCAGUCGUGGGGGAUAACGUAGCGAAAGCUACGCUAAUACCGCAUACGAUCUAAGGAUGAAAGCGGGGGAUCGCAAGACCUCGCGCGAUUGGAGCGGCCGAUGGCAGAUUAGGUAGUUGGUAGGGUAAAGGCCUACCAAGCCGACGAUCUGUAGCUGGUCUGAGAGGAUGAUCAGCCACACUGGGACUGAGACAUGGCCCAGACUCCUACGGGAGGCAGCAGUGGGGAAUUUUGGACAAUGGGCGCAAGCCUGAUCCAGCCAUUCCGCGUGCAGGAUGAAGGCCUUCGGGUUGUAAACUGCUUUUGUACAGAACGAAAAGGCUCUGGUUAAUACCCGGGGCUCAUGACGGUACUGUAAGAAUAAGCACCGGCUAACUACGUGCCAGCCGCCGCAGUAACAC